AUGGGAUGAAAUCAGUAUUUGGACAUGCGAUUUCAUGCUGAUUUUAUCUCAUGA
rfam:Solanum lycopersicum cultivar Heinz 1706 chromosome 11, whole genome shotgun sequence.